rnacentral:rRNA from 1 species
GACGAACGCUGGCGGCGUGCUUAACACAUGCAAGUCGAACGGAAAGGCCCUGCUUUUGUGGGGUGCUCGAGUGACGAACGGGUGAGUAACACGUGAGUAACCUGCCCUUGACUUUGGGGUAACUUCAGGAAACUGGGGAUAAUACCGGAUAGGAGCUCCUGCUGCAUGGUGGGGGUUGGAAAGUUUCGGCGGUUGGGUAUGGACUCGCGGCUUAUGAGCUUGUUGGUGGGGUAGUGGCUUACCAAGGCUUUGAAGGGUAGCCGGCCUGAGAGGGUGACCGGGCACAUGGGCCUACGGGAGGGAGCAGUACGGCAUCGGGGGGCAAGGGUGGGAGAUAGUGCACACGGGGCAGAGUGCUGGUGCAGCAACGCCGGGUGCGGAAUGACGGCCUUCGGGUUGUAAACCGUUUGCGCCUGUGACGGAGCGUGAGGGCCGGUAAUGGGUAAAAAGGCACCGCCAACUUACGU